AUUGAACGCUGGCGGCAGGCCUAACACAUGCAAGUCGAGCGAGCGGCGGACGGGUGAGUAAUGUAUGGGGACUGCCCGAUAGAGGGGGAUAACUACUGGAAACGGUGGCUAAUACCGCAUACUAUCGGAUAACCCAUAUGGGAUUAGCUAGUAGGUGGGGUAAAGGCUCACCUAGGCGACGAUCUCUAGCUGGCCUGAGAGGGUGGAGGGCCACAUUGGGACUGAGACACGGCCCAGACUCCUACGGAGGCAGCAGUGGGGAAGAUUGGACAAUGGGCGGAAGCCUGAUGCAGCGACGCCGCGUGGGGGAUGAAGGCCUUAGGGUUGUAAAGUACUUUCAGCGGGGAGGCGUUACCCGCAGAAGAAGCACCGGCUAACUCCGUGCCAGCAGCCGCGGUAAUUC
rnacentral:rRNA from 1 species